AGGCAGCUGUUCCACUGAAGCAGGCAGACUCUAUCUGCUUUGAUCUGAAGAAAAGGCAGAUUAAAUGAAACACAAACAGCCAGAAGAACACGGGAAGAUGCGCCCCUUUUGGAGCAAUACCGUCUUCAGCCACUGACGCCAGAUAAUCUCUCUGCAAUGAAGUCACUGACCCAGCUGCAGCCCUCUCAAAUCCACUGGCAGGUGCUACAUUUGAACACCUACCUCUUCAGGAGAAUCUCGGCACCGUUCACGUCUCCCGUUCCAAAAUCCAUCCCCUUCCCUCGUUCCCUCCCUCCCUUCGCUGUCUCAAAUAACAGUACUUUACUGGAAUCAGAACUAUUUGUUCAGCCUGGGGAACGAGGCCUCCCAUCAAGCUCCCCUCUAGCGGUGUCGUUUUCACAAUAUUACAGCAAUAAGGUGAACUGCCGCACAAGCCAGGCCUUUUGGCUGGUUAAUGGACCAUAGCACGCUGAAAUGCAGCUGCUCAGCUGAAUUCCACACAUAGCAAACGGACGCGGAAAGCUAAACCUGCAGCCCAGCAGGAGCAAGGAAAAUGAAAUAAACUGUCCCGAGCGCCACUUCGAACCGCCUAAACAAAGGUAAUAACCACGGCUAUCAAGUACAUGUAAUGAUACUUAGGAAGCAUACGAAGAACCCAGAACCGACUGAAGGAACGCAACAGAAGGUUAAGAGCUAUGUUUUGAGGCGCAAGAAUAUAAACUGAAACCAAUCAGCCGUAAGAUAAAGUUUAGGUGGAGGCAGCUCACUCUUAAUUGUCCAGGCUGCCCUUACAAACCAUGAGGAAGGAUGGGCACACGCAGAGG